AACGCGAAGAACCUUACCAGCUCUUGACAUACCGAUCGCGGAAAGUGGAGACAUUUUCCUUCAGUUAGGCUGGAUCGGAUACAGGUGCUGCAUGGCUGUCGUCAGCUCGUGUCGUGAGAUGUUGGGUUAAGUCCCGCAACGAGCGCAACCCUCGCCUUUAGUUGCCAGCAUUUAGUUGGGCACUCUAGAGGGACUGCCGGUGAUAAGCCGGAGGAAGGUGGGGAUGACGUCAAGUCCUCAUGGCCCUUAUGGGCUGGGCUACACACGUGCUACAAUGGCGGUGACAGAGGGCAGCCACUCCGCGAGGAGGAGCUAAUCCCUAAAAGCCGUCUCAGUUCGGAUUGUACUCUGCAACUCGAGUGCAUGAAGUGGAAUCGCUAGUAA
rnacentral:rRNA from 1 species